CCAGCUCCAAUAGCGUAUAUUAAAGUUGUUGCAGUUAAAAAGCUCGUAGUUGAAUUUCUGGCUAGCUGUGUGUUGCGGCUCUGCCCGGCAUACGGUUUAGUCAUCCGUAAGGGAAGCCAGUUCGGCCUUCACUGGUCGGCUGGGGGAACUUACAAUUUACUGUGAGAAAAUUAGAGUGUUUAAGGCAGGCAAUCGCUUGGAUACUCCAGCACGGAAUAAUGGAAUAGGACUUUAGUCGAUUUGUUGGUUUGAGGCUAAAGUAAUGAUUAAUAGGGACAGUUGGGGGCAUUCGUAUUUAAUUGUCAGAGGUGAAAUUCUUGGAUUUAUUAAAGACGAACUUAUGCGAAAGCAUUUGCCAAGGAUGUUUUCA
rnacentral:rRNA from 1 species